AGGCGCAUAGCUCAAUUGGUCAGAGCACCUGCUUUACACGCAGGGGGUUAGGGGUUCGAGUCCCUUUGCGCCUA
rnacentral:tRNA from 2 species